rnacentral:lncRNA from 1 species
CACAGAAUACGGGCAGAAGAUUGCUAGCACACACACAUGCUUCUUGCUUUGUUACCAAAUAUUUUAUUUUAAGACAGCAGCCUGGAGCAAGACCCCUGUGGGCGGCAUCAAGGUGGCUUUUGGGGCUCCGGUCAGUGCUGCCGGCCACGGCAACAGUGGCAGAGCCCGUGGCAUCUCCGGCGCAGCUCCCUGUAGGCCUCCUUGAUCUUGAGGCCGCCGUGGGCACACAGCAGCUUGGGGAGGAUGUGGGCCAGCCACAUGGCCAGCAGCAUGCUGGCCACCAGCAGGACAAUGGUGACUCCGGGCGCAAAGAGGGACAGUGGGUAGGCGCCGUACACAUAGAUGCUGAAGGUGGUCUCCAGGCGGCAGUAGCUGCAGACACAGGCAGGCAGAGGCCUUGGUCCUGGCCACUGUGAGCCCAGGGGUAGCAGAGCCUGGGGGCAGCGACAGGGCUCACCCACCACGGCCCAUUAUGUCCACGGCACCCCUGAUGGAAUCUGAGCCUGCCACCUGCUCUGUGUGCUAUUUGCAUUUGUUGUUUUUGGUUUCCGUUUUCCGUUUUACUAUGUAGCCCAGGCUGGCCUCAAACUCCCAGGGAUCCUCCUGCCUCAGCCUCCCGAGCGCUGCCAUUACAGGCGUGCAUCACCAUGCACUCCCAGCUCAAAACCUAUUUUUGAGGCUUGGAUGGGAGGAUUUACAGAUGGAGAACCCUUGGGUAGGCAGGCGGGCGAGCAUCCACAGAUAUCACUCACAGGGCCCUGCUCACCUGUAGUACGGAUCCAAGACGGAAAGGUGGAAAACGUAGAUUCCAUUCCAUUGUUUGAAAAUGACCCUGUUGUCUGUCCGGCCCCCUAGGAUCUGAUACUGGACGUCUGGCCACCUCAGGGGGGUUUGGGAACUGGGACUGUGGCAGCUCACGUAGCUCUGGGAGUUGACAGGGGGAGUGGUGCCACAGACCCUCUCCCAGUGCACCCCUCAGCCAGCACCAGGGGUGGAGCCCAGGGCCAAGGGCACCAGUGCAGUGCAAAGCCUCUGCCGGGGCAGACUGCACAGCUGCCCCUCCUCCCCAGCCUGCUCCUCGGCCUCCGGCCCCAGAGUCUGAGUCUUAUUUUCCUGUGGGUAUUUUUUUUAUUAUUAUUAUUAUUAUUAUUUGAGACAGGGUCUCACUAUAUAGCCCAGACUGGCCUCAAACUUGCAGCGAUCCUCCUGCCUCUGCCUCCUGAGUGCUGGGAU